UGCGUAUAGUCACACCAACUAGGACUGGACCAAGUAACUUGUUAGGUGGUUGGCCCGUUCCAAGAAGAAGAGAGGAUGGCAUCGAUGAAGGCCGAAAAACCUGCUGCUGCAGCAACUAUGUUUGGUCAACCUAAGAAACCCUCUGAGGUUACUGCUGCAAAGGCCCAGCCCUCCAAGCCGGCCCCAAAGAAGUCCGAACAGAAGCCUCGAGAGCCUAAGAAGAAGGCUAAAGGUGGGAAGCCGGGUGCAAAGAACUGACGAACAAACAUGCAAGACCCUAUGCAGUGUUUAGUGGAUUAGUUUGGCACAUUUCAAUCAUCUAAAGGAUUUUAUAUUACAGUCCUUCAUCACUCAGUUUCCAUGUAGUGUGUGUGCUGUGCUUAUGCUAAUGAAAUAAUAAACCAUAUGUUUUAAAGGAAAGA